rnacentral:rRNA from 1 species
UACGUAGGGGCCGAGCGUUGUCCGGAGUUAUUGGGCGUAAAGCGCGCGCAGGCGGCCUCGCGCGCCCGACGUGAAAGCCCCCGGCUUAACCGGGGAGGGUCGUUGGGGACGGCGGGGCUUGAGGGCGGGAGAGGUCGGUGGAAUUCCCGGUGUAGUGGUGAAAUGCGUAGAGAUCGGGAGGAACACCUGUGGCGAAGGCGGCCGGACUGGGCCGACCCU